CAGUCGCCGCGGUAACACGAAGGGUGCAAGCGUUAAUCGGAAUUACUGGGCGUAAAGCGUGCGUAGGCGGUUUGUUAAGUCUGCUGUGAAAUCCCCGGGCUCAACCUGGGAAUGGCAGUGGAUACUGGCAAGCUAGAGUGUGUCAGAGGAUGGUGGAAUUCCCGGUGUAGCGGUGAAAUGCGUAGAGAUCGGGAGGAACAUCAGUGGCGAAGGCGGCCAUCUGGGACAACACUGACGCUGAGGCACGAAAGCGUGGGGAGCAAACAGGAUUAGAUACCCCAGUAGUCCCUGUCUCUUAUAC
rnacentral:rRNA from 1 species